rnacentral:rRNA from 1 species
GUCCACGCUGUAAACGAUGUCAACUAGCCGUUGGUCCUAUUUACAGGAUUAGUGGCGCAGCUAACGCAUUAAGUUGACCGCCUGGGGAGUACGGCCGCAAGGUUAAAACUCAAAUGAAUUGACGGGGGCCCGCACAAGCGGUGGAGCAUGUGGUUUAAUUCGAUGCAACGCGAAGAACCUUACCUACCCUUGACAUCCAGAGAAUCUGUUAGAGAUAGUAGAGUGCCUUCGGGAGCUCUGAGACAGGUGCUGCAUGGCUGUCGU